rnacentral:rRNA from 1 species
UGGGGAAUAUUGCAAAAUGGGCGCAAGUCUGAUGCCGACAUGCCGCGUGUAUGAAGAAGGCCUUCGGGUUGUAAAGUACUUUCAGCGGGGAGGAAGGGAGUAAAGUUAAUACCUUUGCUCAUUGACGUUACCCGCAGAAGAAGCACCGGCUAACUCCGUGCCAGCAGCCGCGGUAAUACGGGGGGUGCAAGCGUUAAUCGGAAUUACUGGGCGUAAAGCGCACGCAGGCGGUUUGUUAAGUCAGAUGUGAAAUCCCCGGGCUCAACCUGGGAACUGGAGCUGAUACUGGCAAGCUUGAGUCUCGUAGAGGGGGGUAGAAUACCAGGUGUAGCGGUGAAAUGCGUAGAGAUCUGGAGGAAUACCGGUGGCGAAGGCGGCCCCCUGGACGAAGACUGACGCUCAGGUGCGAAAGCGUGGGGGGCAAACAGG